UACGGAGGGUGCAAGCGUUGUUCGGAAUUACUGGGCGUAAAGGGCUCGUAGGCGGCCAACUAAGUCGGACGUGAAAUCCCCAGGCUCAACCUGGGAACUGCGUCCGAUACUGGAUGGCUUGAAUCCGGGAGAGGGAUGCAGAAUUCCAGGUGUAGCGGUGAAAUGCGUAGAUAUCUGGAGGAAUACCGGUGGCGAAGGCGGCAUCCUGGACCGGCAUUGACGCUGAGGAGCGAAAGCCAGGGGAGCAAACGGG
rnacentral:rRNA from 1 species